GAUGAACGCUGGCGGCGUGCCUAAUACAUGCAAGUCGAGCGAACAGACGAGGAGCUUGCUCCUCUGACGUUAGCGGCGGACGGGUGAGUAACACGUGGAUAGCCUACCUAUAAGACUGGGAUAACUUCGUGAAACCGGAGCUAAUACCGGAUAAUAUAUUGAACCGCAUGGUUCAAUAGUGAAAGACGGUUUUGCUGUCACUUAUAGAUGGAUCCGCGCCGCAUUAGCUAGUUGGUAAGGUAACGGCUUACCAAGGCGACGAUGCGUAGCCGACCUGAGAGGGUGAUCGGCCACACUGGAACUGAGACACGGUCCAGACUCCUACGGGAGGCAGCAGUAGGGAAUCUUCCGCAAUGGGCGAAAGCCUGACGGAGCAACGCCGCGUGAGUGAUGAAGGUCUUCGGAUCGUAAAACUCUGUUAUUAGGGAAGAACAAAUGUGUAAGUAACUAUGCACGUCUUGACGGUACCUAAUCAGAAAGCCACGGCUAACUACGUG
rnacentral:rRNA from 1 species